rnacentral:rRNA from 1 species
CCUACGGGUGGCAGCAGUGAGGAAUAUUGGUCAAUGGGCGAGAGCCUGAACCAGCCAAGUCGCGUGAAGGAUGACGGCCCUACGGGUUGUAAACUUCUUUUAUAAGGGAAUAAAGUGAGGCACGUGUGCCUUUUUGUAUGUACUUUAUGAAUAAGCAUCGGCUAACUCCGUGCCAGCAGCCGCGGUAAUACGGAGGAUUCGAGCGUUAUCCGGAUUUAUUGGGUUUAAAGGGUGCGUAGAUGGGUGGUUAAGUCAGUGGUGAAAUUUUGGGGCUCAACCGCGGAAUUGCGAUUGAUACUGGCAGCCUUGAGUACAGUUGAGGUAGGCGGAAUGCGUGGUGUAGCGGUGAAAUGCUUAGAUAUCACGCAGAACUCCGAUUGCGAAGGCAGCUUACCAAACUGCUACUGACAUUGAUGCACGAAAGUGUGGGUAUCAAACAGGAUUAGAUACCCCUGUAGUC